GAGAGAGAGAGAGAGGGUUAUGUAUGUCCUGAUUGUUCUACUUGGUAACAAAAGACUAUGCAAAAGUUAAAGAAAACUUAAAAAAAAUUAGGCAUAUAAAGCAUAGCAGUAUAUGUUCAUGUUCCUGAGCCAAUGAGUAAGCUAGUGUAGAUUAGGAGCCCCCUGGAUUUUUUAUAGUAGAAUAAAGCUACAAUUUUUCUUCUCCAAUUUAUGCCUUUUUUCGACUAAUCACCAACCAAUACGCUCAAAU
rnacentral:lncRNA from 1 species